CCGGAGCCCGGCAAACUUUGCCACAGGCAAUCGCGGGGCUGUGGAUGCAUCCACAGUUUCUGGACAAAAUGGAUAAAAGAUCUGCUUACCCGCUGAAGAUCCAAAGCUUCCUUGUGCCCAGGGUGGUAGCCGUGCGUGUGCGUGUCUCCUGUUCUCUAGGUGUGGAUUCUGCAGUGCUGCACAGAAACCCACUGCAGCCUCAGACCAGCGGCGGCGGCGGCGGCAGCAGCAGCAGCAGCAGCUUCGCCCAACGCUGAGUAGUAAAGUUUGGAGGUGUUUGUGCUGGAAAGUGAAGAAAUUUCCCGGGAAUGUUUUAAAAAAAUGACCUCUGGAGAAACCAACCAUACCUAUUGGGUAAACUUGUUUAUCUUCCAAUCAAAUGACGGGGUCUUCAACAGCUCUGCUGGUUGUUUCCUUGCAUCCAUUGGUGCCUCUGUUUCCUUUUGUCUACACCCUCCUCAAGCAGGCCUGCCAAGAGGAAAAGUUCAUCUGGAGCCAGGUGAAGGAACUGAGCCUUAGAAAGGACAAGUAACUCGCCCAGGAUCUCAAAGCAAAGAAUUGGCAGAGCUAGAAUUCAAAAUCAGGCUUUCUGACUCCAGAGCCUAACUGUUCAUCAUGCUAUAUGUUCUGUAUAUUCUCUAAGUGCUUAGAUUCCAAAAUAUGAGCCAGUUUCCUGGGAGGAAUAAGCAACUGCCAAAGUGAAAUUUAUAAACAUGCCAGGAAUAUUGACAAACUGUCACUGAAGACCAGGAAAGAGUCUUUUAGUAGGAUCCAUCAGUGAAGAACAACGGCUCUCUAAGUGCUGGGAUUUGAAGGGCAGCAACACAGUCCUCUUCUUUGAUCACGUCACCAAAGUGUCCCUAUUUACAGCUCCAUGAGGUAUUGUCCUAAGAUACCUAUUUAGAAACAAUGGAACUGAGGCGCUGAGAUGUUAAGUAAUUUGCCCAAGGUCAAAGAGCAGGGAAGUGACUGAGCGACCAGCCUGGGACUUGAAUCUGGAAGUGACCCAGGAAUGGAGUGGGGGUGGCACAUAAAUCACACAAGCUACUCUCAAACAUUCAGGAGCUCUUCAAAUACAGUUUGGAUUUACCAACCAGCCUCCCUGAAGUCUGGCCAUGGCCCAACCUGCUUCAGCCCCAAAGGAGUCCUUACUUGAAGAAUACCUUUUCAAGGGAAAUGAUUAAAGUUGAUCUGUUUCCUUUGGAUAAAAAGAAUCUCAGAACUGAAAAACCAUCUGGUUUAAUCCCCUAUAAAGAUACCCACCUAUCUAAGCUGUCAAGACAAGAGAGGAAUCUGGAACCCCUGACAUUUUUAUGUCCCUCAGAUGGGGUAAAAUGUCAUAACUGGAGUGUGACUAUUCUGAGUGUUUUCCUUAAAAGGAGGUGCGAUUUGGUCAUCAGAUAAUUUUCCACAAACAGCCUGAUGUGUGCACUUGGAGCUAAGUACUGGUCGCUAUGAUUAAAGCUCUGGGGCUCAGGAGCUUGCCUACUAAAGCUCGGCACUGUAAACAUCUGUCAUCUAACGUUUGCUAGAUGCCAGUUCAUUUGAUUAAAGAACGGUGUUAAUGAGCACUUGGGUUUAAUUCUUUUCAAGGGGCCAAACUGCCUCACACAAAGAAACAGUCUUCAACAACCAUGCUGCAUCACUAGUUCCAGCCAGUUGCUUCUUGAAAUUAUUCCACUAGUUAUAAAGAUUAGUGGAAUAGACAGUAUAGUUGGUUAUGUUUAUUCAUUUGUUCAUUCAUUUAUUCAUUUAUCUCUUUAUUCAUUUGUCAGCAGUAAAACACAGACAUUGACAGUUAGCUGGGGGCUUACAGGUCAGAAAUAUUUGAGUUUGAAUUCCUGGCCUGACUCUGAUUGGCUGUAAAACCUUGGCAAGUUACAUAAGUUAUCCAAGUCUCUGGUUCCUUAUCAAUAAAAUGGGGCAGUAAUCAAAAGGUUGUCAUGAGGAUUUAAGAACAUUCAAAGUGCUUAGGAUAGCACCUGGCACAUAUUACAUACUCAAAA